AACUCCACCUAGUCUCUUCUUUGACUUUCUCAAGCUCUAGGACAUCUCAUAAACUCUCUUGCUCUCAUUUUAUCUACGGGUACACAUAUAAAAUCAGAAAUUUCAGCUCACUUUGCUAUCUUUUUCUCCCAAGGAAAGUGCUAGGAAGCUCCCUUGAGUCUUCCUCUCAAGUCAACCGGUUCACACACCAAAAGAAAGACAAAACCCCACCCAAAAGUCUUCCUCUUAUCCUAUUUUGCUGGCUGCCUCAGACAGAAAGUCCAGCAGCAAGAAGGAAGCUUCUUUCAACUCUCCCAAGCUCUCUACCUCUCAUAUUUUCUGGUCCAGCCACAAGGAAAGAGAAACCCUUUCAUGUGUUACCAGUAUCCAAGUCUAAGCUCCUUCGACUUUAGGCUCUCGGUUCCUCUGCUUUCAGUUAGCAGGUUUUAUUUUGGAGCAGAGGGAGCCUUAGUAGAGUUUGGAAGGAGCUGGUUUUAGUUUGAUAUGUAUAGAUCUUAAUUAGCAAUUCGAUGUGUAGCUUUAUAGUAUUGUGUAUUUUAGGAUCCAAUGAAAGUUGUGUACCUUAAAGUAUUAAGUGAUGUAUUAUGUAAAAGUGUGGAAAUUAAAUGAUUGGUGGAUUAUGUUAUUCUUUGGAGUA